CGCGUAGGCGGUUCGCUAAGUUGGAUGUGAAAACUCUGGGCUUAACCCAGAGCCUGCAUCCAAAACUGGCGAACUUGAGUACUGGAGGGGAAAGCGGAAUUCCUGGUGUAGCGGUGAAAUGCGUAAAUAUCAGGAGGAACACCGGUGGCGAAGGCGGCUUUCUGGACAGUAACUGACGCUGAGGCGCGAAAGCUAGGGGAGCAAACA
rnacentral:rRNA from 1 species